rnacentral:lncRNA from 14 species
AUAUUCAAAGCAUUUGACUUCAAUGUGUCCCAUUUAUACAUAAAUGAUGGUACAUUUACUUGGUUCCAUUUUUUGUGCAACUGCCUCCCUUCGGUAAAGAAUAAGUUUUCAGGCAUUCAAAGAUCCUGUUUUCCAGAGGGUCAGGAGCCUUUCUGAUGUUCUGCAUUUUCAGUAAGUGAGACAUCUGAUAAAGUAAGAUCUCUAUGGUUCGUUCCUAUACUUGUUGACAGCCUUGUCACAAGCUUUGCAAGAGAUCUACCCCCACCGUCAGCUGAUAAACUGAUCUCUCAAGGACUUAGUGCUUCACUAGGGAAUGCCUGGAACUGACCUUCUCUUCCUCUUAGAGGUUUUAUCCCAUAAGCUUUUGUUCUGUGUUUGAUUUGUCAUUUCUGACUGCUUUCAUAUGUGAUAUGUAUCAACAGACAAAGUAGGGACAUUAUUUACAGCCAACAAAUUGUCUUCAGCUUUAGGAUUCCAGUUGUAUAAAGUGUAUGAUUUCACGUGCAGAAUUAUAUCUCUUCUCUGACUUACAUGUUUAAGAAUGUUUUAAUUGUAGGUGAAAUACUUCUGAAGACCAUAGCAGCUCUAUAUGAUUUUGCUAUAGCAUGUUCAAGAGUGAGAGUGAACAUGUGAAUUCUUUGAUUACCUGAGGAAUAGAUCUUCACAUCCCCACAAGACUGACAGCUGGAAUGAAGAGGGAUGUAUUUAAACACCACUGCACAGAACUAUUGCUUAGCCUCUAAGAUGGGAGAAGCAGUGGAAAUGGAUGGAGUUUAGGUUAAUGAAUAGUGAGUCACUAGUAAUUGUACAGGCUUUGGAGACUGCUUGAAGAUGAGCUCCUGGUUUGGAAAUUAUCAAGAUCCCAAGAAGGCUGAAAAUCACUGGGAGGACAUGGGAGUGUGUGCCUGCCUGCGGAUGCUCUGCAGUUCCCAAUACCCGGACAGUGAAGGAAUAAACGCAGGAACUCUCUUCCUACAAUAGUAAGUUGAAAGGAGGGGUCCUGUCCUGGGCUUUGAAGCUUAGCAA